UACGUAGGGGGCUAGCGUUGUUCGGAAUUACUGGGCGUAAAGCGCACGCAGGCGGAUUGGUAAGUCAGGGGUGAAAUCCCGGGGCUCAACCUCGGAAUUGCCUUUGAUACUGCCAAUCUUGAGUCCGGGAGAGGUGAGUGGAAUUCCUAGUGUAGAGGUGAAAUUCGUAGAUAUUAGGAAGAACACCAGUGGCGAAGGCGGCUCACUGGCCCGGUACUGACGCUCAGGUGCGAAAGCGUGGGGAGCAAACAGG
rnacentral:rRNA from 1 species